CUACGGGGCGCUGCAGCUGAGGAAAUUUUACAAUGCACGAAAGUGUGAUAGAAUAAGCCAGAGUGAUUCUCUUAGAGAAUCUUUUGUCAACUGUAAAAAGGUUGACGAAUAAGGACUGGGCAAGACCGGUGCCAGCCGCCGCGGUAAUACCGGCGGUCCAAGUAGUAUCCACAUUUAUUGGGUCUAAAACAUUCGUAGCUUGUUUUGUCAGUCUCUUGUGAAAUCUCAUGUCUUAAGCAUGAGGCGUGCAAGAGAUACUGCAUUACUAGAGACCGGAAGAUGCAAAGAGUAUGGUUGAGGUAACGGUAAAUUGUGUUAAUCUCAAUUAGACUAACAAUGGCGAAGGCACUUUGCAAGUACGGAUCUGACAGUGAGGGAUGAAGGCCAGGGUCGCGAAAGGGAUUAGAUACCCGUGUAGUC
rnacentral:rRNA from 1 species